AGAGAAAUGCGAUUGGCAACACUGUUCCAGUUAGUUAUCCGGUAGAUAAGCUUAAAAGUAAGUUUGGAUUCCGAACACACCUGACUUUUAUGUUUAUUUUUAUAAUUUCAGCUUUAACUUAACCUAACAUAAUUAGAUUCAAAGAUGAUUUUAUCGAUUUUAUUUCCAUUUUGGAAGAAGGAAAUGUAAUCACAGAAUUACAACUUAAUAGGUUUAGUCACAACUUAACUUAGUUUAGUCACAGUUUUUUUGCUUAUACGAAACAGUUAGUUCACUCUAGUUUUUAUGCGGUUCCUGCGCUUGCAGAAACUCCUAGCAGACUGCGUAGUAGACUAGGAGGAAAAUGUUGCUGUUGCAAGAUUUAAAAUAUUCCGAUAAAGAAUAUUCCAAAAUUAUAAUAAAAUAAUUAUGAUUAUCGAUUUUUUUCAAAAAGCUGAAAAUUAAAUUCAUAAAUGGUAAAAUCCUUUAUGUACACACUUGUAUAAAAUUUGAAAAUUAAUAUCUUCUAAUUAUUGAUUGAAUGUAUUCAGAAAAUUAAUCACAAGUAACUAUCUAAAUUGGUGACAUUUGGCAACAGUGAGUAGAUCUGGUAUAUGUCUAUUCCAAACAUAACCUUAUAUUAUAAACAGUUGUUUAUUUAGAGUUAUUUAUUAUUGUUUUCUCAUAUUUUGCAAUUGUUAAGUUGGUUUACUUCGAAUUUAAUAUGCAUUACUGUGGUAUUUCUCCAGUUUUCUAAGAAGUUUGGUGAUUUUGAAUUGGGAUUAUGAUGAAUUUAACCCAAAGGCAAUGUGUGUUUAUUUAUGUGGCAAAAUUCCAGGCACCAUAAAAAUUUGAGUUUCUUCCUGUUGCCCAUGGAUGAAAUCGGUUUGCAGAAUGAAAAGAAAUUGUUCAAUGUGAUAUACUUUCUAUGAACAGUCCUCAAUAUUGUUACAUUAACUUUUAAAUAUGCACUUUACAUCUUGAGGAGCAGGCCUUUGCAGAAAUACUGAAAAGCGGGUUGCAAAACAACGCAAAAUAAAACAAACGAAAUAUGUCUUGAGAUUAAACAUUCAAGUUGAAGGUGUGUUCUUUCUUAAACUGAAAUGAUAAUUUUGUAAUUAUGUAGGCACAUCUAUUGAGAAGUUACAACCAGUGGCAAAGUGCCUUAAGGGAAUCUAUGACAUAUAAUUGAAGCUAUCAGCAUUGGCUCUACAGCCCAUGGUGGGUCUUGGCCUGUUCCAGAAUCAGCUUCCACUCUUUCCUAUCCCAAUCUUUCCAAUUUCUCACUCGAGCAUGGAUUUUUGGUAUAUAUGGGAUUAUAUUGUGAUAACGACCAGAUCUAUGAAAAAAUAGUAUGUUGUUAAAGAAGAUUGUGGUGACACUAUUCAUGAAUAUCUGAUAAUAUUGGUUAAUGUGAAUGGAGUCCAAAAUGGGUUUAGGCUGUUAUAUAAAAAAACUAGGUCAUUAGCAUAUGGAAGUAGGGCGACAUUAUCUGGUAUUAAAUUAUGUGAAUGAGGAGAAUUAAACCUAAAAACUCUAUUUAUUCUGCUAAUCAAUAUGAUUUUAAUAUAUUUUAAUAUAAAACAUAUGUUAUUCUUUCUAGGGACAUCUCCUCUGAAGGAAUUACAAUUAUUUGCCAGUAUGUCAAAUGAAUUUAUUGAUGAAAAUAAAACUAGGUACAUGAUUUAUUAUUUACUUCCAAGGGAUUCUAAGAUACUAUGUGUAAAAAGUCCAAUAUGCAGUGAUGAGCAUGCUAAUAACUGGCAAAAUAUGGGAUAUAACGCCAAAGAUGGGAAACAUGGGAUGCAUUCUGAAAUAAAAAGAGAUGAAACUGAGAGAAAUUAUCCAUAUAAACAUAUAAAUCAACAUUACAUUACAUAGUUUCCCACCUUUAGACGUAUCAGAUGAGUAUGAGAACUGUCACUGUGACAGGAGAAUUUUAUAAAAUACUCCUGUCACAGAGAUCUAAAGGUGGGAAACUAUGUAAUGUUAUCAUCGGCUAAGAGUGUUAACCUGCUAACCCCAUUUUUCACUGUGAGUGAUAUUGGGGUAGUUUCUACAUCUGUGUACCUUCAUACCAUGUCCCACAAGCCCGCUGGUUCCACUGUAGUUUAGAGAUAGCUAUUUCUAAACUACAUUGGUGUCGGCGGGUUUGUGGGGUGCUGUAUGAAAAUACACAGACCCAGAAACUAGCCCAAUAUCACUCAAAGUGAAAAAUGGAGUUAGCAGGUUAAAACUCUUAUCCAACGUUAUGUUAAUUUAUUCGUUUAUAACGAUAAUUUCCACUUCUACCAGUUUCAUCUCUUUUUAUCUCACAAGUUAAUAUGUUUUCCAUCUUUUGCGUUAUUUUGCCGGUUAUUAGUGUGAGUGCUCAUUACUGUCUAUUUACGAUUCUGUGAUUUCUUAAUAUGAUGCUGAGUAGGUGUAGAUGAGUAUCUACAACCCUUUCAAAACAGAAAUUUAUGAGUUCAUUUUAUGUACCUAUUAAACUUUAUUUUAAGGAUGAAUUUGAAAUGCUUGUAGGGAAUAUAUCUGUAAAAAUAAAAUUGGUAUUGUAAAAUUGAAAUUCUCAAAAUAUAAUUUAUAAUUCGAA